GCCCAAGUGAGAUUAGCUAGUUGGUAAGGUAAAGGCUCACCAAGGCGACGAUCCCUAGCUGUUCUGAGAGGAAGAUCAGCCACACUGGAACUGAGACACGGUCCAGACUCCUACGGGAGGCAGCAGUGGGGAAUAUUGCACAAUGGGGGCAACCCUGAUGCAGCCAUGCCGCGUGUAUGAAGAAGGCCUUCGGGUUGUAAAGCACUUUCAGCAGUGAGGAAAAGUUAGUAGUUAAUACCGGCUUGCCGUGACGUUAGCAACAGAAGAAGCACCGGCUAACUCCGUGCCAGCAGCCGCGGUAAUACGGAGGGUGCGAGCGUUAAUCGGAAUUACUGGGCGUAAAGCGCAUGCAGGUGGUUUGUUAAGUCAGAUGUGAAAGCCCGGGGCUCAACCUGGGAAGGUCAUUUGAAACUGGCAGACUAGAGUAUUGUAGAGGGAGGGUGGAAUUUCAGGUGUAGCGGUGAAAUGCGUGAGAGAUCUGAAGGAACACCAGUGGCGAAGGCGGCCCCCUGUGACAGAAGACUGGACACCUCAGGUGCGAUAAGUGUGGGGAGCAAACAGGAUUAGAUACCCUGGUAGUCCACACCGUAAACGAUGUCUACUAGCAGGUUGUGACU
rnacentral:rRNA from 1 species